CAGCCCGGUAAUUCCAGCUCCAAUAGCGUAUAUUAAAGUUGCUGCAGUUAAAAAGCUCGUAGUUGAAUUUCGGGAUCAAUAUGUUGGUCGUGCCUCGGUACGUACUAGCUUAUUGGUUUCUCCCUUCUGACGAACCAUGAUGUCAUUUAUUUGGUGUUAUGAGGAAUCAGGACUGUUACUUUGAAAAAAUUAGAGUGUUUAAAGCAGGCUCACGCUUGAAUACAUUAGCAUGGAAUAAUGAAAUAGGACGUUUGAUUCUAUUUUGUUGGUUUCUAGGAUCGACGUAAUGAUUAAUAGGGAUAGUUGGGGGCAUUAGUAUUCAAUUGUCAGAGGUGAAAUUCUUGGAUUUAUUGAAGACUAACUACUGCGAAAGCAUUUGCCAAGGAUGUUUUCAUUAAUCAAGAACGAAAGUUAGGGGAUCGAAGACGAUCAGAUACCGUCGUAGUCUUAACCAUAAACUAUGCCGACUAGGGAUCGGAUGAUGUUAAUUUUUAAUGACUCAUUCGGCGCCUUACG
rnacentral:rRNA from 1 species